UCCUUGGGGUAGAUUAUCAUCACCGGAGGUUCUUAAGCAGAAGAAUGUAUGACAGUCACACAUUAUCUACUGUCCAUUCAGGAGUUUCAUCCCAUCCUUGUACCAGUCGACAUGAGCAGAAGAAUCAUGAGAGAGUUCACAGCUGAGGACAAUGGGACAGCCUUCUUGGACGGACUUGUUCCUGUCCGUCUCUUGAAGCUCUGAGAACUUCACAGUGUAUUGGGCAGAUGCAUCAGCUAUCUCACCAAUCUCGUCACCAUAGUGACACUGCUCUGCUGUUUGGACAAAGCCAAAGAGAAGACAAUGAGCUGGGUGAUGGCUUCAGCUACCUCUGCAAUACUUCUCCCACCAUCGGGCAUCUCGCAGAGGUAAAUCCCAUCAUCAUCAACUCCAAUGUCACGGAUGGUU